UCACUGCAAGCUCCGCCUCCCGGGUUCCCGCCAUUCUCCUGCCUCAGCCUCACGAGUAGCUGGGACUACAGGCGCCCCUGGCUGAAGAAUAUUCUAUUCGUGUACAUCCACCACAGUUACUUUAUCCCUUCAUCUGUGGAUGGACAGGUUUUUCCACAUGGCUGCAAAUGACUAGAUUUCACCCAUUUCUAUGGUUGAAGAAUAUUCCGUUCUGGAUGAACAUUGCAGUUUCCUCAUCCCUUCAUCAAUGGAUGAAAAGGAUUCCAGGUCCUGAAAUGCAAGUGAGAAACUGGGCAAAAAAAUAGAGAAGGUGCAGAAAGAUGGAGCAGCUCAGUUUCUUAAGUGCUCACAAAAAUAUAUAUGAAAAGAUAUCAUUGGUUGUCAAAAUAAUGCCAAAAUGAAGACUUUCACAAAAGACAUCCUUGACUGUCAGACAAGAAAAAUUCUUAAUGAGUGUAGGAAAAAAUGAAACAACAUAAUUAAAUACUGAAGACAAUGUGAAGUCUCUAUCUUCUCUGUUUUGGGGACAAUUGUCUGGCAGGAGCCAGAAGAAGGGUUGCAAAGGCACCCAGAUGCCACCCAGAGUUCCCAACGUGACUCUCCUCUGGCAGAGAAAUGCCAAACACUUAUGACGGCUGGUAACUCAAAGUUCAAAUAUGCGCUGGCAAGAUGGCCGAAUAGAAACAUCUUAGGUCUGCAGCUCCCAGCGAGAUCAACGCAGAAGGUGGGUGAUUUCUGCAUUUCCAACUGAGGUACCCUGUUAUCUCAUUGUAACUGGUUAGGCAGUAGGUGCAGCCUACAGAGGGUGAGCAGGAGCAGGUUGGGGUAUCAGCUCACCCAGGAAGUACAAGGAGUGGGUGGAGGGGUGCGCCCUUUCCCAGCCAAGGGAAGCCAUGAUGGACUGUGCUAUCUGGCCCAGACACUACAUUUUCCCCACAGUUUUUGCAAUUUGCAGACCAGGAGAUUACCUAGUGUGCCUACACCACCAGGACCCUGGGUUUCAAGCACAACACUGGGCAGCUGUUCAGGCAGACACUGAGCUAACUGCAGGAGUUUUUUGUUUUGUUUUGUUUUGUUUUCUUACCCCAGUGGCGCCUGGAAUCUCACUGAGACAGAACCGUUCACUCCCCUGGAAAGGGGGCUGACGCCAGAGAGACAAGUGGUCUCCCUCAGCACGUCCCACUCCCACAGAACCCAGCAAGCUAAGAACUACUGGCCUGAAAUUCUGGCUGCUAGCACAGCAGUCUGAAGUUGACCUAGGAUGUUCCAGUUUGGUUGGGGGAGGGGCAUCCACCAUUACUGAGGUACAUCCACCAUUACUGAGCUUUCCCCUGACAGUGCUAAAAAGGCCUAGAGGUUCAGACCGGGCAGAACUCAACACAGUGCAGCAAAGCAGCUGUGGCAGACUGCCUCUCUAGAUUCCUCUUCACCUGGAAGGGCAUCUCUGAAAGAAAGGCAGCAGCCCCAGUCAGGAGCUUAUAGAUAAAACUCCCCUCUUACUGGGACAGAGCAUCUUGGGGAAGGGGGUUGCUGUGGGCACACCUUCAGCAGUCUUAAACAUUCCUGCUUGCCGGCUCUGAGGAGAGCAGCAGAUUUUUACAAGUAGAGUUCUAACAGUACAACACUUGAGCUCUGCUAAGGGACAGACUGACUCCUCAAGUGGAUCACUGACCCCCGUGCCUCCUGACUGGGAGAGACCUCCCAACAGGGGUUGACAGACACCUCAUACAGGAGAGCUUCCACUGGCAUCAGGCCGGUGUCCUCUGGGAUGAAGCUUCUAGAGGAAGAGGUGGGCAGCCAUCUUUGCUGUUCUGCAGCCUCUGCUGGUGAUACCCGGGCAGAUAGAAUCUAGAGUGGAACUCCAGCAAACUACACUCCAGGAGAAGAGGGAUCUGACUGUUAGAAGAAAAACUAGCAAACAGAAAGCAAUAACAUCAACAUCAACAAAAGAAACCCCCACACAGAAACUCCAUCCAA